ensembl:lncRNA
GAAAUCGCAACUUCAUCGAGUCCGUCCAUCGUGAGAAACUGGCGGGAGGAAGUGCCUUCGUUUCCUUGCUGUGCGUUGGCGCGCUGAUUGCGCAUGCGUAUUACAAAACGUUAAUACGUCACAGGAUCAACGCACUGUUGCGCAUGCACGCUCGCGCGUUUUUCUCAUUUCCUGUGUUGUACGUUUUUAACUUGGCACAUUAAGAAGGUUAUAGUAGUUAUUCUGGCUUUAACGUAGUUAAUUGGUUGCAGUUGAAAGAUACAUUUGACAUCAAUUUUAAACUCAACAUCUCUUCUGUUUUAUUUGAGGUAGCAACGAAAGCUUGCUUUGAUUUUACCGGAGAAAAUGAUUUGGUGCUGCAUCAUUUGUUAUGUGUUUGUGGCUCUUACUCUCAAAUCUUUAUUGAGUCACAUCAAUUUUGCACAUAGUCGUAGUCCAGAUUUCCGCCUGGUUUGCGGAAUAGAUGGGUGUACUAAAGAGUACCGAGUCUACAACUCUUUUUGGUAUCACAUCAGACGAACACACUCACAAUAUCUAGACGGCGUGAGUAGCAGCAGAUCACAUCGGAGAGAGAGAUCAGCACAACACGAGGCAUCCGGUGAACCUAGAAGAACGGACAGCAACAACUUGUGGACAUAUAGUGGACCAACACUGGUGGCUCAGGAUACUCGGAACUCAAGUGACAGUCCGGAUAAUGAAACGACAAUGGAGAAUAAUGUGGAUUUUCAAACCUCUCUUCUUGUUCCUGUGGAACAUUUUGGUGAUUUUGAUGCUUUUGACACUGGUGAAACAGUUUUCUCUGGCUUAAGCAGUAACACUGUUUUGCGGUCUCCUCCGAACCUGGAAGCACAGGAUGUACUACUAAAUGAAACUUCAGAUACGAAUCCCACUCUACCUAUUCCAAACAGGCCUUCAGAUGACUCAAGUUCUCCAUGCCUCCCCCAAGAAACCAUGAAUGACGAAUUAUCAAGUGAUGGUGUGCUAUCCAGACAUGCCACUGCUAUUGUGAUGAUUGCUAGAGAGAAACAUCAUCUCUCACAG